GGGUUGUGAGGUUAAGCGACUAAGCGUACACGGUGGAUGCCCUGGCAGUCAGAGGCGAUGAAGGACGUGCUAAUCUGCGAUAAGCGUCGGUAAGGUGAUAUGAACCGUUAUAACCGGCGAUUUCCGAAUGGGGAAACCCAGUGUGUUUCGACACACUAUCAUUAACUGAAUCCAUAGGUUAAUGAGGCGAACCGGGGGAACUGAAACAUCUAAGUACCCCGAGGAAAAGAAAUCAACCGAGAUUCCCCCAGUAGCGGCGAGCGAACGGGGAGCAGCCCAGAGCCUGAAUCAGUGUGUGUGUUAGUGGAAGCGUCUGGAAAGGCGUGCGAUACAGGGUGACAGCCCCGUACACAAAAAUGCACAUGCUGUGAGCUCGAUGAGUAGGGCGGGACACGUGGUAUCCUGUCUGAAUAUGGGGGGACCAUCCUCCAAGGCUAAAUACUCCUGACUGACCGAUAGUGAACCAGUACCGUGAGGGAAAGGCGAAAAGAACCCCGGCGAGGGGAGUGAAAAAGAACCUGAAACCGUGUACGUACAAGCAGUGGGAGCACGCUUAGGCGUGUGACUGCGUACCUUUUGUAUAAUGGGUCAGCGACUUAUAUUCUGUAGCAAGGUUAACCGAAUAGGGGAGCCGAAGGGAAACCGAGUCUUAACUGGGCGUUAAGUUGCAGGAUAUAGACCCGAAACCCGGUGAUCUAGCCAUGGGCAGGUUGAAGGUUGGGUAACACUAACUGGAGGACCGAACCGACUAAUGUUGAAAAAUUAGCGGAUGACUUGUGGCUGGGGGUGAAAGGCCAAUCAAACCGGGAGAUAGCUGGUUCUCCCCGAAAGCUAUUUAGGUAGCGCCUCGUGAAUUCAUCUCCGGGGGUAGAGCACUGUUUCGGCAAGGGGUCAUCCGACUUACCAACCCGAUGCAAACUGCGAAUACCGGAGAAUGUUAUCACGGGAGACACACGGCGGGUGCUAACGUCCGUCGUGAAGAGGGAAACAACCCAGACCGCCAGCUAAGGUCCCAAAGUCAUGGUUAAGUGGGAAACGAUGUGGGAAGGCCCAGACAGCCAGGAUGUUGGCUUAGAAGCAGCCAUCAUUUAAAGAAAGCGUAAUAGCUCACUGGUCGAGUCGGCCUGCGCGGAAGAUGUAACGGGGCUAAACCAUGCACCGAAGCUGCGGCAGCGACACUAUGUGUUGUUGGGUAGGGGUAAGCGUGUGCUGUGAGGCAUGCUGGAGGUAUCAGAAGUGCGAAUGCUGACAUAAGUAACGAUAAAGCGGGUGAAAAGCCCGCUCGCCGGAAGACCAAGGGUUCCUGUCCAACGUUAAUCGGGGCAGGGUGAGUCGACCCCUAAGGCGAGGCCGAAAGGCGUAGUCGAUGGGAAACAGGUUAAUAUUCCUGUACUUGGUGUUACUGCGAAGGGGGGACGGAGAAGGCUAUGUUGGCCGGGCGACGGUUGUCCCGGUUUAAGCGUGUAGGCUGGUUUUCCAGGCAAAUCCGGAAAAUCAAGGCUGAGGCGUGAUGACGAGGCACUACGGUGCUGAAGCAACAAAUGCCCUGCUUCCAGGAAAAGCCUCUAAGCAUCAGGUAACAUCAAAUCGUACCCCAAACCGACACAGGUGGUCAGGUAGAGAAUACCAAGGCGCUUGAGAGAACUCGGGUGAAGGAACUAGGCAAAAUGGUGCCGUAACUUCGGGAGAAGGCACGCUGAUAUGUAGGUGAAGCGACUUGCUCGUGGAGCUGAAAUCAGUCGAAGAUACCAGCUGGCUGCAACUGUUUAUUAAAAACACAGCACUGUGCAAACACGAAAGUGGACGUAUACGGUGUGACGCCUGCCCGGUGCCGGAAGGUUAAUUGAUGGGGUUAGCCGCAAGGCGAAGCUCUUGAUCGAAGCCCCGGUAAACGGCGGCCGUAACUAUAACGGUCCUAAGGUAGCGAAAUUCCUUGUCGGGUAAGUUCCGACCUGCACGAAUGGCGUAAUGAUGGCCAGGCUGUCUCCACCCGAGACUCAGUGAAAUUGAACUCGCUGUGAAGAUGCAGUGUACCCGCGGCAAGACGGAAAGACCCCGUGAACCUUUACUAUAGCUUGACACUGAACAUUGAGCCUUGAUGUGUAGGAUAGGUGGGAGGCUUUGAAGUGUGGACGCCAGUCUGCAUGGAGCCGACCUUGAAAUACCACCCUUUAAUGUUUGAUGUUCUAACGUUGACCCGUAAUCCGGGUUGCGGACAGUGUCUGGUGGGUAGUUUGACUGGGGCGGUCUCCUCCUAAAGAGUAACGGAGGAGCACGAAGGUUGGCUAAUCCUGGUCGGACAUCAGGAGGUUAGUGCAAUGGCAUAAGCCAGCUUGACUGCGAGCGUGACGGCGCGAGCAGGUGCGAAAGCAGGUCAUAGUGAUCCGGUGGUUCUGAAUGGAAGGGCCAUCGCUCAACGGAUAAAAGGUACUCCGGGGAUAACAGGCUGAUACCGCCCAAGAGUUCAUAUCGACGGCGGUGUUUGGCACCUCGAUGUCGGCUCAUCACAUCCUGGGGCUGAAGUAGGUCCCAAGGGUAUGGCUGUUCGCCAUUUAAAGUGGUACGCGAGCUGGGUUUAGAACGUCGUGAGACAGUUCGGUCCCUAUCUGCCGUGGGCGCUGGAGAACUGAGGGGGGCUGCUCCUAGUACGAGAGGACCGGAGUGGACGCAUCACUGGUGUUCGGGUUGUCAUGCCAAUGGCACUGCCCGGUAGCUAAAUGCGGAAGAGAUAAGUGCUGAAAGCAUCUAAGCACGAAACUUGCCCCGAGAUGAGUUCUCCCUGACUCCUUGAGAGUCCUGAAGGAACGUUGAAGACGACGACGUUGAUAGGCCGGGUGUGUAAGCGCAGCGAUGCGUUGAGCUAACCGGUACUAAUGAACCGUGAGGCUUAACCUUACAACGCCGAAGGUGUUU
rnacentral:rRNA from 1 species